CUCUGCCAUAGCUAAUUAUCAUAUUUUAUUAUACUUUUCUCGAAUAUAUGUUGUAUUUCCUUGCAACAGAGAACUUGUCUGCCAGUAAUGCAUGAUCCUCUGAAGAGGAGACUCGAUUCCCAGUGGUUGAAGGGUCACCAUGAAUUUCCUAGCACCGUGGAUGUCACAGAAGAGAGAGGAAAAAUGGUUGACUUCGAUGCACAGCUCUGCUAGAUUGUAUAACGACGUCUGGCAUUCUGGCAAAGAUAGAAGAGACGAAGAAUGUUACAUAGCAAGGGAUUCAGUGUUGCUAGAUUUCUGGAGAAUUAAGACCAGAGCGGAGUCGUGGAAUACUGCUGAAGAAAGGGCAGUACAAGAUUAGUUAAAUACUGCAUUCAGGAUUGUUGGUAUCGUGGAUGCUGAUAACCAAGACAAAAUGGAAGACAUUGGAGUUGAUAGCUACGUUUAGUUAUGUUGAAAGUGGAUUGUGAUGAAGAUGACAAGCAAAAUGGAAUGAAGACCAAGUUAAUGGCUACGUUCAGGGUCAUUACAAUUGUGGAUGGCAAUCAGACGACACUGAAGAUAUUGAGGGUUGUUAGAAUUGUCGAUGGUGAUCGAAACGACGCUGAAGAUAGAAUGGAAGGCAUUGAAUAGUGAACUGUAUUACUGAUGCAGUACAAUUACUGGAAAAUAUUGGGUAAUGAACUAGUCUACCACAUUCCAGGUAGUGCAAAAUCCAAAUAUUCCAGGAUGCCUUGAAGUUGAAGCUUUUAAAAGUAUAAAUUUAUAAGCAAACAUUAUUAUAAUAAAUACAAAUAUUGAA